rnacentral:tRNA from 1 species
GCCUCUUAGCUCAGCCGGUCGAGCGCAUGGCUUUUAAUCAUGUCGUCGUAUGUGGUCGUGGGUUCGAUUCCCACACACGGCG